UGAAAUAGUCAGAGAGUGAAGAAUAAAGAAAGAGAGAGAAAAAGGGAGACGAAAAAAUAAAAAUAAUAGAAGAAGAAAUACUCGAAGGAGAACUGGUUCCACGAGAAGCGAGAGAAAUGAGAGACGAAGAAGGAGGACACUUACGAUGUACCAAAGGAGGCUAGCGUGGUCUGUUACGAGAGAGAAAACCGGUUUUACGAUUCAAACUGGAGUAAAAGUGUGUAUUGCAUCGUCGUCGUUGGGAUUCGCCAAACUGAACCGCGCGUUUCCAUGUUUACGAUCCAGAACGAAUGCAAGGCGGAUGCAUCUCUCCAACGAGUAGGCGUGAGACUCGACGACUCUUUCGUACUCUUUGGUUGCAAUUAACAUCGUUAUCGCUCCGAUGUGCUACCCGGUGAAUAAUUAAUUAUCUACUAAGUAAUUACCCAGUGGGUUGAACUCGUGGACCAUCAUCCAACUGGUUCCAACGAGAGAGUCUGAGUCGUCGCUUUGUCUCUUCUCAGAGGAUAGAGGAACCGAGGUCAAGCGAGAGCUCAGCGAUUGGAGGACCAUGGUCGGUCGAAGCUUGAAGAAACCAGUUUCCGUUAAAAACGUACGAUUGUGGCGCCAACAAGCGGCCUUUGCUUGUGAUUGAGCAAGUAAGAGUCCAGCAGCUUUGCUGGAGUGUCCGUUCUCCAGGGCGGGAGGAUGUUGACCCUCAUGCGCCAUCUUGAAUGACGGGAUACCGUCGAUCGUAGUACUACUCACAGCUGGUAUUGCGACGUUUCACGUGCACGUUAGAAGAACGUGAACGUUCGAUACGUAUCUAGAUGUGUGUUUGCGUAUAUGUGUGUAUAUAACGCGUCAUCACACACGAGUGACACGUAUCGGAGUAUACGUACGAGAGUUGCUUUCGAAUUUAUGUGACACCGAUUAAAGAUUCGAUCUUCGUAGCUAUCACGGCUAUGACGAUUGACAAUUUUUAUAAAAAAUUUUGAAUCGAUUUAAUCAUUUGAUUCUAUCGUAAAUUAUGUCAGUCAUAAUUUUAAUACGAUAUUAAAUCCGCAUCCUAAUCGUCGACAAUUCGUAACAACAAUUUUAAACGUAUUAUCUUAUUAUUAAUUUCUU